rnacentral:rRNA from 1 species
GGAGUAUCGACCCUCUCUGUGCCGAAGCUAACGCUUUAAGUACCCCGCCUGGGGAGUACGGUCGCAAGACUAAAACUCAAAGGAAUUGACGGGGGCCCGCACAAGCAGCGGAGCGUGUGGUUUAAUUCGAUGCUACACGAAGAACCUCACCAGGGCUUGACAUGUUAGAAGUAGUGAACCGAAAGGGGAACG